rnacentral:tRNA from 1 species
GGCCCGUUCGUCUAAGGGCUAGGACACUACCCUCUCACGGUAGGAAUGGGGGUUCGAAUCCCCCACGGGUCACCA